rnacentral:rRNA from 1 species
AACGAACGCUGGCGGCGCGCCUAAUACAUGCAAGUCGAGCGAGAAGACGUAGCAAUACGUUUGUAAAGCGGCGAACGGGUGAGGAAUACAUGGGUAACCUACCCUCGAGUGGGGAAUAACUAGCCGAAAGGUUAGCUAAUACCGCGUACGCUCCUUGGACUUCGGUUCAGGGAGGAAAGCGAUACCGUGGGUAUCGCGCUCUUGGAUGGGCUCAUGUCCUAUCAGCUUGUUGGUGAGGUAACGGCUCACCAAGGCUUCGACGGGUAGCUGGUCUGAGGGGACGAUCAGCCACACUGGCACUGCGACACGGGCCAGACU